UACGUAGGGGGCGAGCGUUGUCCGGAUUUACUGGGCGUAAAGCGCGUGUAGGCGGCCCGUUAAGUGGGGUGUGAAAGCCCGGGGCUUAACCCCGGGACGCCGCUUCAAACUGGCGGGCUUGAGGACGGAAGAGGGGAGUGGAAUUCCUGGUGUAGCGGUGAAAUGCGUAGAGAUCAGGAGGAACACCCGUGGCGAAGGCGGCUCCCUGGUCCGUCCCUGACGCUGAGACGCGAAAGCGCGGGGAGCGAACGGG
rnacentral:rRNA from 1 species